AUGCUUCUCCUAAAGACUAAGCCAUGCAUGCCUUCGAAUAAGAGGAAGCAAUUCUCUCUGAAUCUGCGAACGGCUCCGCAAACCAGUUGUAAACUACAGCAAGCCCGCUUGGGCCUGGCCUUCACGGGCCGGGUUCAGGCAAUACGGAUAACCCUGGUAAUUCUGAGGCUAAUACGAGAACGUAACCCCUGGCCGACCGGCAACGGAAGGCUGGGGAACGUGUGACAAUCUCGUGAGGAAUCUUGCCGGGAAUCGGGUG
rnacentral:rRNA from 1 species